rnacentral:ncRNA from 4 species
UACAGAGGGUGCAAGCGUUAAUCGGAAUUACUGGGCGUAAAGCGCGCGUAGGUGGUUUGUUAAGUUGGAUGUGAAAGCCCCGGGCUCAACCUGGGAACUGCAUCCAAAACUGGCAAGCUAGAGUACGGUAGAGGGUGGUGGAAUUUCCUGUGUAGCGGUGAAAUGCGUAGAUAUAGGAAGGAACACCAGUGGCGAAGGCGACCACCUGGACUGAUACUGACACUGAGGUGCGAAAGCGUGGGGAGCAAACAGG